GGUGAGUAACACGUGGGUGAUCUGCCCUGCACUCUGGGAUAAGCCUGGGAAACUGGGUCUAAUACCGGAUAGGACCAUGCUUUAGUGUGUGUGGUGGAAAGUUUUUUCGGUGUAGGAUGAGCCCGCGGCCUAUCAGCUUGUUGGUGGGGUAAUGGCCUACCAAGGCGGCGACGGGUAGCCGGACUGAGAGGUUGGUCGGCCACAUUGGGACUGAGAUACGGCCCAG
rnacentral:rRNA from 1 species